rnacentral:misc_RNA from 1 species
GGUUCGAUUAUGGCUCAGAUUGAACGCUGGCAGGAUGUGCUACACAUGCAAGUCGAACGGCAGCACGGACUUCGGUCUGGUGGCGAGUGGCGAACGGGUGAGUAAUGUAUCGGAACGUGCCUAGUAGCGGGGGAUAACUACGCGAAAGCGUAGCUAAUACCCGCAUACGCCCUUCAGGGAAAAGCGGGGGACCUUCGGGCCUCGCACUAUUAAACGGCCGAUAUCGGAUUGGCUAGUUGGUGGGGUAACGGCUCACCAAGGCGACGACCCGUAGCUGGUUUGAGAGGACGACCAGCCACACUGGGACUGAGACACGGCCCAGACUCCUACGGGAGGCAGCAGUGGGGAAUUUUGGACAAUGGGGGAAACCCUGAUCAGCCAUCCCGCGUGUGCGAUGAAGGCCUUCGGGUUGUAAAGCACUUUUGGCAGGAAAGAAACGGCACGGGAUAAUACCCCGUGCAACUGACGGCUUACCUGCAGAAUAAGCACCGGCUAACUACGUGCCAGCAGCCGCGGUAAUACGUAGGUGCAAGCGUUAAUCAGAUUACUGGGCGUAAAAGCGUGCGCAGGCGGUUCGGAAAGAAAGAUGUGGAUCCCCAGAGCUUAACUUUGGAACUGCAUUUUUAACUACCGAGCUAGAGUGUGUCAGAGGGUGGAAUUCCGCGUGUAGCAGUGAAAUGCGUAGAUAUGCGGAGGAACACCGAUAGCGAAGGCAGCCUCCUGGGAUAACACACUGACGCUCAUGCACGAAAGCGUGAAGGGCAAACAGGAUUAGAUACCCUGGUAGUCCACGCCCUAAACGAUGUCAACUAGCUGUUGGGGCCUUCCGGGCCUUGGUAGCGCAGCUAACGUGAAGUUGACCGCCUGGAAGUACGGUCGCAAGAUUAAAACUCAAAGGAAUUGACGGGGACCCGCACAAGCGGUGGAUGAUGUGGAUUAAUUCGAUGCAGCACUUGAAAA